GUGUGGCUUGGGGAGUUUCUUGGCCUGCUUUCCCUUUUCCUGGUACUCCAAACUGCAUUGUGUCUGCAGUUAGUCCUGAGACUGCUAAAAAGAGCAUCGCCUUCAUGUGAUACUGGCUAGUGCUGCAUGAUGUGUAGUGAGGUGUGUGAGUGUUGGACAUUCUCAUGGGCCUUGUCUGGCUCUCAAAAGCUUCCAGGAACCAAGGACAUGGUGUGGGUGUGCAUCACCAUUUAGCUGUGCUGUACAAAGUGAGCAUGAGCAAUCUAAUCUUGUGAACACUGGUGGUGGUGAAGCAAUUUCCCCCCUCCUGUGUGUUCCUUGGGCACCCUUCCCCCCCUUUGCUGGUAAUAUUAAUCAAGUACUGUUUCUUUAAAUAUUUUGCAAUAACGAGAUCUCUACUUUUUAACCUGGCCUCUUUUGCAGCUGUUAUAUUUUGAAUAAUUAUCCUGGUACAUUUGAAUAAAAACAUUCCUCUUAUGCAACUUGAA